GGUCUAUAAGGCGAAUUCUUGAACUAUUCAGGAAUUAAAUUGAAGCUGAAAUUCUCAGAAAUUAUCUCUGUAGAAUUACAUGAAAUAAGUGCAGUGCUCUACUUUGUGUACGGUGGUGCAGUCUACCAGUGAAUCAAUGAUGUUUUAGGUGAAUCAAGAAAUAUCGAGGCCUCUUUUACUAACUCUUUUAAAGAUAAUUUUGUAACUGAAGAAUUACACAACUUUUCUGCACGUUGAUUAUGUGAAUUAAGCGAAGAAGCAAUGUGUUCGGAUGGCUUUACUAUAGCAGUAGAUUUCGUUAUUUGACUCUCUGCUACCUUCUUCGCUGAUAAUGGACUUCUGGCAUUAUGACUUUUAUUUACGGUAUCCGGCGUGUCGAAUUCAAUUAUCGUUGAUAAUUCAUGACCUGAUGAUUCAAUUUCCGGCCUGGAAUUCAAUUUUAUUAUAAUUGUACCAAAAAUGUAAGAUUAAAUUAUGAAAAUAUAAAAAAUAUGAAAAAAA